rnacentral:rRNA from 1 species
CGUAACAAGGUUUCCGUAGGUGAACCUGCGGAAGGAUCAUUACCUAGAGUUUGUAGACUUCGGUCUGCUACCUCUUACCCAUGUCUUUUGAGUACCUUCGUUUCCUCGGCGGGUCCGCCCGCCGAUUGGACAACAUUCAAACCCUUUGCAGUUGCAAUCAGCGUCUGAAAAAACAUAAUAGUUACAACUUUCAACAACGGAUCUCUUGGUUCUGGCAUCGAUGAAGAACGCAGCGAAAUGCGAUAAGUAGUGUGAAUUGCAGAAUUCAGUGAAUCAUCGAAUCUUUGAACGCACAUUGCGCCCCUUGGUAUUCCAUGGGGCAUGCCUGUUCGAGCGUCAUUUGUACCUUCAAGCUCUGCUUGGUGUUGGGUGUUUGUCUCGCCUCUGCGUGUAGACUCGCCUUAAAACAAUUGGCAGCCGGCGUAUUGAUUUCGGAGCGCAGUACAUCUCGCGCUUUGCACUCAUAACGACGACGUCCAAAAGUACAUUUUUACACCCUUGACCUCGGAUCAGGUAGGGAUACCCGCUGAACUUAAGCAUAUCA